UACAGAGGUGGCAAGCGUUGUUCGGAAUUACUGGGCGUAAAGGGCGCGUAGGCGGCCAUCUAAGUCAGACGUGAAAUCCCCCGGCUUAACCUGGGAACUGCGUCUGAUACUGGAUGGCUUGAGUGUGGGAGAGGGAUGCGGAAUUCCAGGUGUAGCGGUGAAAUGCGUAGAUAUCUGGAGGAACACCGGUGGCGAAGGCGGCAUCCUGGACCAUUACUGACACUGAAAAGCGAAAGCCAGGGGAGCAAACGGG
rnacentral:rRNA from 1 species